rnacentral:sRNA from 1 species
CGAGGACUACGGGGAGCCGGCGCCUGGGGAGCCGCCCCCGGUGCCGCGGCCCAGCCGUGAGCAGAAGUGUGUGAAGUGCAAGGAAGCCCAGCCCGUUGUGGUGAUACGAGCCGGAGAUGCCUUCUGCAGGGACUGUUUCAAGGCCUUCUACGUCCACAAGUUCAGAGCCAUGCUGGGGAAGAACCGGCUCAUCUUUCCAGGAGAGAAGGUGCUCUUGGCGUGGUCUGGGGGGCCUUCGUCCAGCUCCAUGGUCUGGCAGGUUCUUGAGGUGCGUGUUCACCACCCCCUGGACCUGGGCUGCUGGGCUGAGCUUCGGGCUGAGCUUCGGGCUGGGGGCCUCCCUUCUCAGCCUGCUGAGGGGCUCUUGGUUGGGGCUAGAGAGCAGUCUACCCCGCGGCCUGGACACCUGGAGAGUUCUCAGAUGUGUUUACAACAGGUGCACCAAUCAGAAGCUGAGUCCACAGUGCGUGUGUGCAGCCCACUCUCAGAUGUGUUUACAGCAGGUGCACAAAUCAGAAGCUGGGUCCAGAGUGUGUGUGUGCGGCCUACUUGACUUCUGUCCAUUUGCUCAACCUGCAUAGAAACACAGUCAGUGGAAAGCUGCAUCUUGGCUCAGCCGUGUGUGACCCGAGGGAAGAUUGGGAAAGGGGAGGGGGUUUGCCAGGAGAAGCAAAGGGAGCAGCGUUUGAGGUGGAGGAGACGGCACGCGCAGGGAGGUGGAGGCAGGCUCAGGCUGCACACAGGGCUCGGCUGGGGGUGGUGGGGCUGUGCC